AUCAUUUCAGAGAGAAGAAAUUGUGUGACUUUAAAAGAAAACCAGUGAGAAAGAAUCAUAGAAAAUGUAUGAUGAUUCAGGAUGUGGUCAUUCGUGACAUUAAAACAGGAAUUGUCAUCACCAAUAGACGAAUUUCACAUUCCUAAGAGUUUUCUCCAAUUGUCGGCGUAUCGCUCAUUUUUCCCACUUUGUCCUUUGUCCUGUUCUGUGGAUGCCCUAAGACAGUGUCUACCCAUCACUCCAUCUGAUAUCACUUGUUCUGUGCAUAUUUCUCUCUCAAACUUAAACUACAGAGAGCCUGUGGAUAGAGGAUGAAGAGUGACCUUGGACUAAUUUUCUAGGUCAAAGAUCAAAGGUGAUGUGAAGAAAACCAGGAAACUGAUGUUGAAAGAAGUACUUAAUGACCCUUAUGAAUGGACUUAAAUGUGAAAGACUGUUCCAUUGUUUAUCUAAGAUAUAUGAAUUUAUGUAAUAUUUUGAUAUUAUUGAAAAAUUCAGUUACAGUUUUUGUACAUCAAAUGAAUUAU